AUUGACAGAGAUAAUGAUGCCGUUGCAUUUGAAAAUAAGGUACAGCAACUGACCCCAGAGGAGGGAGGAAAGGAAAUUUUUUUGCUGUUGGGGAAGCAAAGGGCCUGAGCUGUAAAGCCAGAGAUGAUUUGUCAGACUCACAUGAUGAAGCAGGAAAGUUCCAAGAAAACCCAAGCAUCUAAAAUCUUAAAUGACUGCUCCACAUCAGAAAAAAAGAUGUCCACUUGUGAAAUCUGCAUUCAUACAUGGCAGUGGCAAUUACAUGCAGUUACUGUGAAGCUGGUUUUCAUGAGCGUUAUGUUCUUACUCAGCAUAAGAAGACUGAUAGAGAUGAAAAAAGAUUCAAAUGUGAUCAGUGCAGCUACACAUGCAAGCAGGUAGAAGAUACCUGCCACGUCAUACUUUCGGGGCUGGUACUGGUUUGUAUAAUCCGGUGUAGAAGAAUAAUGUGUAAGCAUGCUGAAGAUUGUGGACUGGUGAUGGCAAAAACUGCUACACCCAGAAAAAGAAGCAAGGGCAGAAGGAAAAAAUGUGAGAACCUAAAGCAUGUUAAGCAAGAAGGUUCUGCCUAUUACUAG
rnacentral:lncRNA from 1 species